rnacentral:pre_miRNA from 1 species
AAAGUACUCCCUCUGUCCCAAAUAUCUUGUCUUAGAUUUGUCUAGAUACGGAUGUAUCAAGUCACAUUUUAGUAUUAGAUACAUCCGUAUCUAGACAAAUCUAAGACAAGAAAUUUGGGACAGAGGGAGUAGUUG